UUUCCGUAGGUGAACCUGCGAAAGGAUCAUUAAUGUAACCGGACCGUUCCUUUGCCGUAAAACACACUGGUUUGGAAAGGGAGAUAUCAAACACCCUUUGUUUAUUUUCUUUUGUUGAUUUGGUGAGCCGUCCUUUACGGCGUCGGCCUCGGCUGAUCGCGCCCGCCAGAGAACCCAAACUCUUUUAUUAGUGAUGUCUGAGUAUUAUAUAAUAAUUAAAACUUUCAACAACGGAUCUCUUGGUUCUG
rnacentral:misc_RNA from 1 species